UACGUAGGGUGCAAGCGUUAAUCGGAAUUACUGGGCGUAAAGCGUGCGCAGGCGGCUUUGCAAGACAGGUGUGAAAUCCCCGGGCUUAACCUGGGAACUGCAUUUGUGACUGCAAGGCUGGAGUGCGGCAGAGGGGGAUGGAAUUCCGCGUGUAGCAGUGAAAUGCGUAGAUAUGCGGAGGAACACCGAUGGCGAAGGCAAUCCCCUGGGCCUGCACUGACGCUCAUGCACGAAAGCGUGGGGAGCAAACAGG
rnacentral:rRNA from 1 species